UACGGAGGGAGCUAGCGUUAUUCGGAAUUACUGGGCGUAAAGAGCUCGUAGGCGGCUUGUCACGUCGGGUGUGAAAGCCCGGGGCUUAACCCCGGGUCUGCAGUGGAUACGGGCAGGCUAGAGGCAGGUAGGGGAGAACGGAAUUCCCGGUGUAGCGGUGAAAUGCGCAGAUAUCAGGAGGAACACCGGUGGCGAAGGCGGGUCUCUGGGCCGAUACUGACGCUGAGGAGCGAAAGCGUGGGGAGCGAACAGG
rnacentral:rRNA from 1 species